rnacentral:rRNA from 1 species
GCCUACGGGGGGCAGCAGUCGAGAAUUUUUCACAAUGGGCGCAAGCCUGAUGGAGCGACGCCGCGUGGGGGAUGAAUGGCUUCGGCCCGUAAACCCCUGUCAUUUGCGAUCAACCGUUGUUAUUUAAAAGAUGACAGCCUGAUAGUAGCGAAAGAGGAAGGGACGGCUAACUCUGUGCCAGCAGCCGCGGUAAUACAGAGGUCCCAAGCGUUGUUCGGAUUCACUGGGCGUAAAGGGUGCGUAGGUGGCGAGGUAAGUCGGAUGUGAAAUCUCGGAGCUCAACUCCGAAACUGCAUUGGAAACUGCCUUGCUCGAGGGUUGGAGGGGGGACUGGAAUACUUGGUGUAGCAGUGAAAUGCGUAGAUAUCAAGUGGAACACCAGUGGCGAAGGCGAGUCCCUGGACAACUCCUGACACUGAGGCACGAAAGCUAGGGGAGCAAACAGGAUUAGAUACCCCGGUAGC